GAUGAACGCUGGCGGCGUGCCUAAUACAUGCAAGUCGAGCGAACAGACGAGGAGCUUGCUCCUCUGACGUUAGCGGCGGACGGGUGAGUAACACGUGGAUAACCUACCUAUAAGACUGGGAUAACUUCGGGAAACCGGAGCUAAUACCGGAUAAUAUAUUGCACCGCAUGGUUCAAUAGUGAAAGACGGUUUUGCUGUCACUUAUAGAUGGAUCCGCGCCGCAUUAGCUAGUUGGUAAGGUAACGGCUUACCAAGGCGACGAUGCGUAGCCGACGUGAGAGGCUGGUCGGCCGCACUAGAACGGGGACGCGGUCCAGACGCCUACGAGAGGCAGCAGUAUGGUAUCUGCCGCAAUAGUGGGAAGCCUUGCGCAGCGACGCCGCGUGAGAGGUAGAGAUGUUGGGUGCGGAAAGCUCUGUUAUUGGGGAAAAACAAAUGUGUAAGUAACUAAGCCCGUCGUGACGGUACCGAGUCAGAAAGCCACGGCUAACUACGUG
rnacentral:rRNA from 1 species